rnacentral:rRNA from 2 species
UGGGGAAUAUUGCACAAUGGAGGAAACUCUGAUGCAGCGAUGCCGCGUGAGGGAAGAAGGUUUUAGGAUUGUAAACCUCUGUCUUCAGGGACGAAAAAAGGACGGUACCUGAGGAGGAAGCUCCGGCUAACUACGUGCCAGCAGCCGCGGUAAUACGUAGGGAGCGAGCGUUGUCCGGAAUUACUGGGUGUAAAGGGAGCGUAGGCGGGAUCGCAAGUCAGAUGUGAAAACUAUGGGCUUAACCCAUAAACUGCAUUUGAAACUGUGGUUCUUGAGUGAAGUAGAGGUAAGCGGAAUUCCUAGUGUAGCGGUGAAAUGCGUAGAUAUUAGGAGGAACAUCAGUGGCGAAGGCGGCUUACUGGGCUUUAACUGACGCUGAGGCUCGAAAGCGUGGGGAGCAAACAGGAUUAGAUACCCUGGUAGUCCACGCCGUAAACGAUGAUUACUAGGUGUGGGGGGACUGACCCCUUCCGUGCCGCAGCAAACGCAAUAAGUAAUCCACCUGGGGAGUACGACCGCAAGGUUGAAACUCAAAGGAAUUGACGGGGGCCCGCACAAGCAGUGGAGUAUGUGGAUUAAUUCGAAGCAACGCGAAGAACCUUACCAGGUCUUGACAUCGUAUGCAUAGCUCAGAGAUGAGUGAAAUCUCUUCGGAGACAUAUAGACAGGUGGUGCAUGGUUGUCGUCAGCUCGUGUCGUGAGAUGUUGGGUUAAGUCCCGCAACGAGCGCAACCCUUACUGUUAGUUGCUACGCAAGAGCACUCUAGCAGGACUGCCGUUGACAAAACGGAGGAAGGUGGGGAUGACGUCAAAUCAUCAUGCCCCUUAUGACCUGGGCCUCACACGUACUACAAUGGCUGUAAACAGAGGGAAGCAAAGCCGCGAGGUAGAGCGAACCCCUAAAAGCAGUCUUAGUUCGGAUUGUAGGCUGCAACCCGCCUACAUGAAGUCGGAAUUGCUAGUAAUCGCAGAUCAGCAUGCUGCGGUGAAUACGUUCCC